rnacentral:lncRNA from 1 species
AUAGCAUGCCAGACGCGCCAGAUGCAUGUGUCAUGCGCCAGACACACCACUAAAGCGAGCGAGGCCGGCUGCGCAUGUGAGCGUUGGCCUGUUCGGCGACCCGCCUGUCUUUUUUUACUUUUCAAUUUUGACCUGGUUUGUUGGGCUCCCGGCGUAUUCUGCGUUCCUCGUGCACUUCGACACGGCACCAGUGCACUAUUGGACUACGGCAAGCUGACGCCGUCCGGUGGAGCUUCGUACGGAAACUACUGCUGCUUACCUCCUGCCAAAACGUUGGAUGAAUGCACAAAAAGCCCGGAGCGAGCAUUUA